AUACCUUUCUCGGCCUUUUGGCUAAGAUCAAGUGUAGUAUCUGUUCUUAUCAGUUUAAUAUCUGAUACGUGGGCCAUUGGUUCACAUGAUAUUAAAUUAAUUUUUUGAGGGUGACGGCUCAAAACGGUAGCUCGCUGCUGGAGCCCUCGGGCGUCGCUUGUGUGUUGCACUACUACACAGGCCUGGCGCACCCCCU